rnacentral:lncRNA from 1 species
CUACAUCGACUACGCCGUGGCACGCAACGAAGGUAGAACCUUGGAGCGACCGAUUUGUGGCGUAGACCCGUAGGUUGCGACCGAUGAUAUUCAUGUAUUGUAUGAGAUGUCCGUGUUUGUACCGAUAGUUUCGAUAGUUGCCGGUAUCUUGUUCCACUAGUGUGUGCAACCCCGACCUUGUCGGAUCUUUGUGUUAUUCUUGUUAAAUCAUGUGUUGCACCUACCCAUGUCCAAAUCAUGCGAACUUGAUAUGUAAAUUGAUCAGGAAAAUGCAAGGAAUAUUAAUAUGGCAUUCUCAUUCAUGUUUGAGCAACUGUAACCUAUUGUUUAUCCUAAAACACCUUACCUCUUCCUUCUGGAGUUGGAAUUCCAUUGCUUUAGGAAUUCCAAUCCAUUUAAUAUGAUUAGUAUAUCAUCUACUCACUUGCUGUUAAGAUGUCAUGCAUCAUCUUUUGAUUGCGCAUUUAACAUUACCAUGUGUAUCUUGUAUGCUUAUAUUUUUCUUUUAUGUGGUGUAUUUGCUUCUUCCUCGCUAGUCUUCGAUUCCUACGACGACGACUGCACUUGUGUUCUUCUUUCAGGAUUCUUGCUCAAUUCCGGGCAAUUGAGUACUCCAGGCAAGCAGCCAUUCCUUGACCAUGUUGAUUAUACCUAUUGCCUCUCCCUCAAUCUUGCAUUAAGUUACGAUCUCAGUCUUGUCACGAUGCCAUUAGGAUUGCAUAGCUUAUUAGUCAGCUCCACUUAUUGCCUUAUGUCUUGUUACUUGUCCUAAUACCAUGUCACAUGUUUGUUGUUGCCCUACAUCUUGAUCAUUAGAUGUCAUGCUUAGUUGCUAGUCUUUUGUCCUUACUUCUGGGGUUACAUAAUUGCUACAUCCACAUGCUACUUCCUGUAUUUAAAUUACAAUUAUUAAACUGUGAUAUGAUAUUUAACUGUAACAAGGCAAUGAUGGAAGGCCGUGCUCUAAUGCAUUGGUGAUUUGUUCUAUUUGCGCCGACCUAAGGACUGAGUUUUCGUUUUCGCCGACCCAAGAAACUUCGCGCUAACCGCUCGUGGGAAAAUAUAUGGGUUCCUCCUCGACUUAGUACUUGAUCCUCAGUUCUUCCAAGGGCCACAUAGUUCGGGCGUUCCAUUUGGCAUAUCGCAUAUACACUGGUGUUGUGUUGGAGACUUGUUGGUGACUUUGCAUUCAUAUAGGAUUGCGGCACUAGUCUGGAGUGGUCAUCUUGCAGGCCCUGAACCACUACCAGCUGUCCUCGCAACUCUUGAGUCUGUACGACGCUUCGGCCGGGCUCUCGUUUCGGAUUAGACUCAGUUGGGUGGUCCCCUUGGAUUAGUUGGAACUGGGAAAUGUCAUGUGGCUCAAUCCAGCCAGCGCACAUUUGAGUGUGAGCACGCUUGGUAUUCGCGGGUUGGUCGAACGUGUACGGGUAAAUUGGUGCACCCUGCAGGGAUAAAUCUUUCGGAAAGCCGUGUCCGCGGUUUUGGACGACUUGGUUGGUCAUUACUUGAUCAUAGAGAACUUAACCAACUUAAGCUCAUAAACUUGAGUAGUAAUUAGCCUUAAUCAUGGAUAUGCUUAAACUGCUUAAGUGUGAGUGUCCUUUGGAUUGCUUCCUCAUAGGGUGUUAAAGGGGUGAUAUGAGGAUUGUGGUGUUUGGUGUUAGUUGAUAGUUUAUCACCUCACUUGGUAGACGCUUCUUAUCCUCUCAUUAGAUGUUGUUAUUAGAGUGUCUCUCUAAAUAUUGUUGCUGCUGCAUAACCCCACCAUAUUUUCCUCCUUUGAAACUUGUUGCGUAAUUAGAUUAGAUCUCCAUGUAAGUCUUGCGAGUACUUUGUACUCGGUUGCUUUGCAACGUUGUUUUCUUCAGAGGUUCCAGCAGAGCAGGUGAGUUGCUAGCUUCUUCGUGGAUCACGACGUUGGAUUCGAUGUUUAGCCAAGAGAUCCAGAUCAGGGUCCUGAGACUCGUGGCAGGUUUCCUUCCAGCUUCCAGCCUCUUCAGGCCAUGCUGUAUUCUUGUCCGUACUCGGGCAUAAUUCGACUUCCGCUGAUGUAAUGAUGUAAUGUUGGGACAUGUGUCCUCUCUUUGUAAUAUUUGAUAUUCUGCUCCCUGUAUGAGCUUUGUAAUUACUUUCUUCUGUAGAGUUUGGUAAUGAUAUUCAUGUUGCAAAAUCCUGCGAUGAGCACAUUAAUGCGUGUAAGUAUUGAGGUGUUUAUCGUAGGUUAAGAACCUGAGGCUUGAAUUAUGCAAAGGUUAGCAAUUUGGGGGUAAAUUGUAUAAUUUCGGUCCCGGGGUCUUACAAUAG